AACGAACGCUGGCGGCAGGCUUAACACAUGCAAGUCGAGCGCCCCGCAAGGGGAGCGGCAGACGGGUGAGUAACGCGUGGGAAUCUACCCAUCUCUACGGAAUAACGCAUGGAAACGUGUGCUAAUACCGUAUACGUCCUUCGGGAGAACGAUUUAUCGGAGAUGGAUGAGCCCGCGUUGGAUUAGCUAGUUGGUGGGGUAAAGGCCUACCAAGGCGACGAUCCAUAGCUGGUCUGAGAGGAUGAUCAGCCACACUGGGACUGAGACACGGCCCAGACUCCUACGGGAGGCAGCAGUGGGGAAUAUUGGACAAUGGGCGCAAGCCUGAUCCAGCCAUGCCGCGUGAGUGAUGAAGGCCCUAGGGUUGUAAAGCUCUUUCACCGGCGAAGAUAAUGACGGUAACCGGAGAAGAAGCCCCGGCUAACUUCGUGCCAGCCGCCGCAGUAAAAC
rnacentral:rRNA from 1 species